rnacentral:lncRNA from 1 species
AGCCGCGACGACGAGCGGUGUGAAGCGCCGCCACCGUUAAUUUCCGAGCGGUUGUGUAACGCGGCAAAACCAGAAGUUCCUUCUCCAAGUGGACCAAGUCGUCUGCAACCUCUGACGACAACAACAACGGCUAUCGAAGAGGCACGACUUGAAACCUCCGACGUCCGUGGAUGACCCACUCGGACGAGCGGCUGCUCUGACACCGACCCCGCUCCGAGGGAGGCGCCCGACUUUUGGUGUCCGCAGCCUGUACCAAGCCACCACCACCACCGCCAUUGUCGGUCAUGGGACAGCUGAGACACGAGCACGUUGCUACGGGCAUUCCUCGGAGCGAGAGAAAAAAGAAAAAUCUCCGCAGAGGCGUCUGACCUACUCUCUCCGUGGAAGAAAACCAAAGCUGCAAGGCCAAAGUGUGUCUCUGUGUGUAUAUAGAGUGUUAUGAAGGACUCGUUUCUCUCUCUUUUUUCUUCGUCGGUCUUGUACACUGAUAUGGACUACACGCUCGUUGUGCGAUGGACUCGAUGAACGCCUUCGUCGCUGUUUGCUGCAGCUUCUGAAGACCCACAAGCAGCAGCCGGGCACGCAUUGCGCCGCGCGCAUCUGCUGCACGCCGUCACCGCCGUCGUAGGGUGCUGCACGAGCAAAAAAAAGAAACAGCUCGACGGACGGCGCAGCUGCGCGUCGACGACGACCACAACAGCGGAAGCCAGCCGCGAUUAGGGCGGCGUCCUGUGAUAGAAAAGAAGUACACAAGCCUGCAUAAAGCACAUCGUUAGCAGUCAGCGUACGGACUAUAUGUGAAAUAAAUAUCAUUUCUUAUUCGUUGAAAA